rnacentral:rRNA from 1 species
UAAACUAGGAUUAGAUACCCUAUUAUUUUAAAUGUCAAUUUUUAAUACUAAGUUAAUAAUAGUUAUGUUCUUUAAAAUUAAAAAAUUUGGCGGUAUUUUAGUCUUUUCAGAGGAACCUGUCCUGUAAUUGAUAGUCCACGAUAAUAUAUAUUUUAUUUAUUAAUUUACAUAUCAUCGUAGUUUGAAUAUUUUAGUAGAAAUUUAAUAUUCUGAAUUUUUUAUUAAAAAAUAAAUCAGAUCAAGGUGUAGUUUAUAAUAAAAUAGAGAUGGGUUACAAUAAAUUUAUUUAUGGAUAUCUUUUUUUAAAAAAGUUUGAAUUUGGAUUUGAGAGUAAUUUUAUACAUUUAUAUAAAAUGAUUUUAGCUCUAAAAUAUGCACACAUCGCCCGUCGCUCUUAA